GUCUACGGCCAUGCUACCCCGAACAUGCCCAAUCUUGUCUGAUCUCGGAAGCUAAGCAGGGUUGGGCCUGGUUAGUACUUGGAUGGGAGACCACCUAGGAAGACAGGUGCUGUAGGAG
rnacentral:rRNA from 1 species